rnacentral:rRNA from 1 species
GCAGUCGACGGUGAAGAGGAGCUUGCUCCUUGGAUCAGUGGCGAACGGGUGAGUAACACGUGAGUAACCUGCCCUUGACUCUGGGAUAACUGCUAGAAAUGGUAGCUAAUACCGGAUACGACCCUCGGCCGCAUGGUCAGGGGGUGGAAAGAAUUUUGGUCAAGGAUGGACUCGCGGCCUAUCAGGUAGUUGGUGAGGUAAUGGCUCACCAAGCCUACGACGGGUAGCCGGCCUGAGAGGGUGACCGGCCACACUGGGACUGAGACACGGCCCAGACUCCUACGGGAGGCAGCAGUGGGGAAUAUUGCACAAUGGGCGCAAGCCUGAUGCAGCAACGCCGCGUGAGGGACGACGGCCUUCGGGUUGUAAACCUCUUUUAGUAGGGAAGAAGCGACUGGGUUUUCCUGGGAGUGACGGUACCUGCAGAAAAAGCACCGGCUAACUACGUGCCAGCAGCCGCGGUAAUACGUAGGGUGCAAGCGUUGUCCGGAAUUAUUGGGCGUAAAGAGCUCGUAGGCGGUUUGUCGCGUCUGCUGUGAAAACCCGAGGCUCAACCUCGGGCCUGCAGUGGGUACGGGCAGACUAGAGUGCGGUAGGGGAGAUUGGAAUUCCUGGUGUAGCGGUGGAAUGCGCAGAUAUCAGGAGGAACACCAAUGGCGAAGGCAGAUCUCUGGGCCGUAACUGACGCUGAGGAGCGAAAGCAUGGGGA